UCACCUAAGGCUAAAUAUUGGCGAGAGACCGAUAGCGAACAAGUACCGUGAGGGAAAGAUGAAAAGAACUUUGAAAAGAGAGUUAAACAGUACGUGAAAUUGUUGAAAGGGAAACGAUUGAAGUCAGUCGUGCUGGCGCGAAAUCAACCCUCUCAUCGGGAGAUCACAUGUUGUGGCGAGCCUCAAAACCGCCACAGCGUGUGACCUCACGAUGAGGGGGAGCACUUUCGUGUCCGCUGGUUAACAUCAAUUUCGAACGUCAUAAAAAGGCUGGAGGGAUGUGGCUCCUUCGGGAGUGUUAUAACCUUUAGCGGAAUGUGGUGGUCGGGAUUGAGGAUUGCAACGAAUACCUUUAGGGCUGUUCCACCUGGCCUCUCUUUGGUAUCCUGGUGACGACAGCUUGCUGACGUUGUCAGGAUUCGCCUUUGAACAGGCUAGAGUGUGAGCAA
rnacentral:rRNA from 1 species